GACGAACGCUGGCGGCGUGCUUAAUACAUGCAAGUCAACUUGACUUUAGAUAGCAAUAUCGAAAAGUAGGGUGGCGCACGGGUGCGUAACGCGUAGGUAAUCUGCCCUGAGGUCUAACAUAACCCGUCGAAAGGCGGGCUAACAUCAGAUGAUAUAUAAUCACGACAUCGUGGAAAUAUCAAAUCUUCGGAGCCUUGGGAUGAGCCUGCGUCUGAUUAGGUAGUUGGCGGAGUAAUAGCCCACCAAGCCUACGAUCAGUAGCUGGUCUGAGAGGAUGAUCAGCCACACUGGAACUGAGACACGGUCCAGACUCCUACGGGAGGCAGCAGUAAGGAAUAUUGCUCAAUGGGGGAAACCCUGAAGCAGCAACGCCGCGUUGAAGGAUGAAAU
rnacentral:rRNA from 1 species